rnacentral:rRNA from 1 species
AAGAACACGUAUGAGAGUAACUGUUCAUACGUUGACGGUAUUUAACCAGAAAGUCACGGCUAACUACGUGCCAGCAGCCGCGGUAAUACGUAGGUGGCAAGCGUUAUCCGGAUUUAUUGGGCGUAAAGAGAGUGCAGGCGGUUUUCUAAGUCUGAUGUGAAAGCCUUCGGCUUAACCGGAGAAGUGCAUCGGAAACUGGAUAACUUGAGUGCAGAAGAGGGUAGUGGAACUCCAUGUGUAGCGGUGGAAUGCGUAGAUAUAUGGAAGAACACCAGUGGCGAAGGCGGCUACCUGGUCUGCAACUGACGCUGAGACUCGAAAGCAUGGGUAGCGAACAGGAUUAGAUACCCUGGUAG